rnacentral:rRNA from 1 species
ACUCCUACGGGAGGCAGCAGUAGGGAAUCUUCCACAAUGGGCGAAAGCCUGAUGGAGCAACGCCGCGUGUGUGAUGAAGGGUUUCGGCUCGUAAAACACUGUUGUAAGAGAAGAAUGACAUUGAGAGUAACUGUUCAAUGUGUGACGGUAUCUUACCAGAAAGGAACGGCUAAAUACGUGCCAGCAGCCGCGGUAAUACGUAUGUUCCAAGCGUUAUCCGGAUUUAUUGGGCGUAAAGCGAGCGCAGACGGUUAUUUAAGUCUGAAGUGAAAGCCCUCAGCUCAACUGAGGAAUUGCUUUGGAAACUGGAUGACUUGAGUGCAGUAGAGGAAAGUGGAACUCCAUGUGUAGCGGUGAAAUGCGUAGAUAUAUGGAAGAACACCAGUGGCGAAGGCGGCUUUCUGGACUGUAACUGACGUUGAGGCUCGAAAGUGUGGGUAGCAAACAGGAUUAGAUACCCUGGUAGCGACUGA